rfam:Triticum urartu cultivar G1812 contig1052923, whole genome shotgun sequence.
UUUCUACUCCCUUCAUCCAAAAAUACUUGUCAUCAAAAUGGAUAAAAAGAGAUGUGUCUAAAACUAAAAUACGUCUAGAUACAUUUCCUAUUUAUCCAUUUUGAUGACAAGUAUUUCCGGACGGAGGGAGUAUUUG